ACACAAGACGCCGGAGCUUCACAAGGGAGCGAACGAGGGUGUUUAUAAGAAUGGAAGUGUUGUUUCCUUGCCCGAUUCCUUCAUGCUAUAUCUCAUGAACCUCUGUAAUCUUGGGGGAGAGACUAUAUUUAAUGAUGACAAACCUGUCACCAGUGUAGCAACAACAGUGUGAGGACAAAAGCAAAUAAAAAUUAAGAAGCGUUCAAAUUUAUAUUCAACAAGGAAGUCAUUUCAAUCAACAACUUCUGCUGCAUUAUUUUUCCAAGAUGAACCGAUACACAACCAUGAGACAGUUGGGGGACGGCACGUAUGGGAGUGUGCUUAUGGGCAAGAGUAAUGAAUCCGGGGAGCUGGUGGCCAUCAAAAGGAUGAAGAGAAAGUUCUAUUCUUGGGAUGAAUGCAUGAACUUGAGAGAAGUUAAGUCUCUGAAGAAACUUAAUCAUGCCAAUGUUAUUAAAUUGAAAGAAGUUAUCAGAGAAAAUGACCAUCUUUAUUUUAUAUUUGAAUAUAUGAAAGAAAACCUCUAUCAAUUAAUGAAAGACAGAAACAAGUUGUUCCCUGAAUCAGUCAUCAGAAAUAUUAUGUAUCAAAUAUUGCAAGGGCUGGCUUUUAUCCAUAAACAUGGCUUUUUUCAUAGGGACAUGAAACCAGAAAACUUGCUUUGUAUGGGUCCAGAGCUUGUGAAAAUUGCUGAUUUUGGACUUGCAAGAGAAUUAAGGUCACAGCCACCAUACACUGAUUAUGUAUCUACCAGAUGGUAUCGUGCCCCUGAAGUUUUACUGAGAUCUUCAGUUUAUAGUUCUCCCAUUGAUGUGUGGGCUGUUGGAAGUAUCAUGGCUGAACUCUAUAUGUUAAGGCCACUUUUCCCAGGGACAAGUGAGGUCGAUGAAAUCUUUAAAAUUUGCCAAGUUUUAGGGACUCCCAAAAAAAGUGACUGGCCAGAAGGAUACCAGCUGGCAUCCUCUAUGAACUUCCGUUUUCCCCAGUGUGUUCCUAUAAACUUAAAAACUCUUAUUCCCAAUGCCAGUAAUGAAGCUAUUCAGCUCAUGACCGAAAUGUUGAAUUGGGAUCCAAAGAAACGACCGACAGCAAGCCAGGCAUUGAAACACCCAUAUUUUCAAGUUGGUCAGGUAUUAGGCCCUUCGUCAAAUCAUCUGGAAUCAAAACAGUCUUUAAAUAAGCAGCUGCAACCAUUAGAAUCAAAGCCAUCUUUAGUUGAGGUAGAGCCUAAGCCUCUGCCGGAUAUAAUCGAUCAGGUUGUUGGACAACCCCAGCCAAAAACUAGCCAGCAGCCACUGCAGCCCAUUCAGCCGCCACAGAACCUGAGCGUCCAGCAACCUCCAAAGCAACAGAGUCAGGAGAAACCGCCACAAACGCUAUUCCCGAGCAUCGUCAAAAACAUGCCAACUAAGCCAAAUGGCACACUGAGUCAUAAAAGUGGUAGGAGGCGUUGGGGUCAGACUAUCUUCAAGUCUGGAGAUAGCUGGGAAGAGUUGGAGGACUAUGAUUUCGGAGCCUCCCAUUCCAAGAAGCCAAGCAUGGGUGUUUUUAAAGAAAAAAGGAAAAAAGAUUCUCCAUUUCGGUAAGAUUUCAAAUUCCUCAGAAAAAUAUUUUUGCCAUGCAUUAACUUUAUUUUACUCAUUAAAUAUAAAUGCAUGUAGACCCUAAAAGAAGAAAAGUUUGCUUAACAGGCCAGGUGUAGUGGCUCAGGCCUGUAAUCCCAGCACUUUGGGAGGCCGAGGCAGGUUGAUCACUUGAGGCCAGGAGUUUGAAACUAGCCUGGCUGACAUGGUGAAACCCCGUCUCUACUAAAAAUACAAAAAUUAGCUGGGUGUGGUGGUGUGCACCUGUAAUCCCAGCUACUCGGGAAGCUGAGACAUGAGAAUUUCUUGAACCUGGGAGGUGAAUGUUGCAGUGAGCCAAGAUUGUGCCAUUGCAUUCCAGCCUGGGUAACAAAGUGAGACUCUGUCUCAAAAAAAAGAAAAAAAGAAAAAAAUUUGCUUAAUAUUGGUGCCUUCCACAAAACACAAAUCUUUCCACAUACUUCUGAAAAGGUAAGAAUCUUCUCACAGUAACAGUUCUCAGUAUUAACAGAUGAGUGGGGUGUGUGUGUCUGUGUGUGUGUGUAGAGAGUGUGUCAGUCCGUUUUUACAUUGCUAUAAAGAAUGUGUUGGCCCAUGGUUCUGCAGGUUGUACAGGAAGCAUAGUGCCAGCAUGUGCUUCUGGUGAGGGCUUUUGGAAACUUAGAAUAAUGGCAGAAGGUGGCAGAGGAUCCAGCCUGUCACAUGGCAAGAGAGGGAGCAAGAGAGAGAGGGAGGAGGUCCCAGACUCUUUUAAACGAUCAAGUCUUGCAUGAACUCAGAGUGAGAACUCACUCGUUACCGCAAGGAUAGUACCAAGCCAUUUGUGAGGGAUCUGCUCCCAUGGUCCAAACACCUCCCGCCAGGCCCCACCUCAAAACUGGGGAUUACAUUUCAACAUGAGAUUUAGAGAGGACAGAUGUCCAAAACGUAUCAGAGGGGAUCUUGUUCCAUUUUUACGAUGCUCUUGUGAAUGACAAUCAUUAUUCCCAUUUGAAAUUGACAUGCCUCGUUGCAGGAAGUAGAGCACCACGUGCCAAGUUAACAGCUUCUUCUGAUGGUGUUAAGAUUUCACUAACUGCCUCCUCGCUAUUCUAAACUUUUUUCAAUCAUUUUCUGAGCCUUUUCUGGAAGUUUAAUAUCUCUAGCAGUUCCUUUACUUUUUAUAAGUGAGGUCAUCCUUAGUACAUUAUUCGACUUUGAAGUUAGGAUGGGUUAAGUUUUGGUGAAUAUUUUGGAAAGAUACUUUCUUUUUUUUUUGUUUUCCUCUUUGAAACAGAAGAAUAGAAAGAACAAGUGUGUUAUGAGUCAGGAAAACUUAUACAAGUAGCUAUUUGGCAUGACAUAGUAUGGAAGUCUUCACUUUGGAGCACGAGGAAUCUCUAAGGAGUACAUAUGCUUGGAUAAUUCUUUUUUUGCUUGGAUAACUCUUAUGCAAUCCGUUUCCAGGUCUUCACAUUCCAUAGGUACUCUUUCCUAAAAAUACAUGAACUGGAGGAAAAGCCCACUCAAGUCCUCUUCCACUCUAGGCAAGAAAGUCACACCUCUCAGUUAUUUCAACUCUUACAUGGCAUAGGGUUACUAAAUAAAGGGACAAAUCAGAAAACUGGCUUUCUGUUGGUUCUUGUCUUACAGAAAUUGGGUACAGUAGUCCCCUGAAUCUGCAGUUUCACCUUCCAUGGUUUCAUUUACCUGCAGUACGGUGCAAUAAGAUAUUUUGGGCUGGGUGCGGAGGCUCAAUGCCUGUAAUCCCAGCACUUUGGGAGGCUGAGGUAGGUGGAUCACCUGAGUUCAGGAGAUUGAGACCAGCCUGGCCAACAUGGUGAAACCUCGUCUUUACUAAAAAUACAAAAAUUAGCUGGGUGUGGUGGCGGGCGCCUGUAAUCCCAGCUACUCAGCAGGCUGAGGCAGGAGAAACUUGAACCCAGGAGGCAGAGGUUGUGGUGAGCCGAGAUUGUGCCACUGCACUCCAGCCUGAGUGAGAGUGAGACUCCGUCUCAAAACAAAAAAAAGAUAUUUUUGAGAGCACAUUCACAUAACUUUUAUUACAAUAUAUUGUUUUAAUUGUUCUAUUUUAGUAUUAGUUAUUAAUGUUAAUCUCUUGCUGUGCCCAACUUAUAAAUUAAACUUCCUCAUAGGUAUCUAUGCACAUACAUAUAGGAAAAGAUGGGCUGUAUAGGGUUUGAUACUAUCUGUGGUUUCAGGCAUCCUCUGGGGGUCUUAGAACAUAUCCCCCACACGUAAUGGGGGCUACUGUAUUUUAGCCCAUGUUGGAAAGCAUGGUGAUUUGGAAACACUGAAGCACCAGGCGUUAGUGAUGUGUAUUCUUUCAAAUAUACUAAAAUGCUCUGUUUCCUCUUUGAAACAGAAGAAUAGGAAGAACAGUUGUGUUAUGAGUCAGGAAAACUUAUCCAGGAGCUCUUUGGCAUGGUAUAGUAUGGAAGUCUUCACUUUGGGGCACGAGGAAUCUCUAAGGAGUGCAUAUGCUUGGAUAAUUCUUUUUUUUUUUUUUUUCUUUUUUGCUUGGAUAACUCUUAGGCAAUCCGUUUCCAGGUCUUCACAUUCCAUAGGUACUCCUUCCUAAUCUGUGUGUUUAAUCCAUGGGUUUUCAAAACACAUGGAUUAAAAUUUUACUUAUUUGAGGAUCAGAGUGUAUUAUGGAUAAGGUAGUUAAAACUUAUUUUAUCAAGCCAUACCAUGAAAUACUCCAAUUGCAGUCAAUCCUCACAAUAUUUCAUCUUAUAAAAUACUGUUUCUAUCUGCUGUUAACAAGAAAUAAGGAACAAAUUUAUGAUGAAAAAUUAUAGAUGUCUAUUUAAAGAUGUGCAGGGAGUUACAUAAUUUAAAAAACAAUUAUUUGGGUCUAGGAACAGAAGAGUUUGAAGACCACUGAUGUAGUAUAUGGGAGAUUUGAAACAUUUUUUUUCUUUUUUUUCUUUUUGAGACGGAAUGUCGCUUCAUUGCCCAGGCUGGAGUGCAGUGAUGUGAUCUCGGCUCACUGCAACCUCUGCCUCCAGGGUUCAAGCAAUUCUCCUGUCUCAGUCUCCUUAGUAGCUCAGAUUGUUACAGGCGUGUGCCACCACGCCUGGCUAAUUUUUUGUAUUUUUAAUAGAGACAGUGUUUCACCAUGUUGGCCAGGCUAGUCUUGAACUCCUGACCUCAGGUGAUCCACCUGCCUCGGCCUCCAAAAGUGUUGGGAUUACAGGCAUGAGCCACCGCACCUGGCGACUUGAAAACAUUUUUUAAAACCCAUGUCAUUCUGAUUUCAGCUAAAUUUUAUUCAUAAUUAUUUAUAAUUAUUCAUAAUUUAUUCAUAAAUUUUAGUCAUAUAUUUUUGAGGAUGGUAGAGGUUUGAAUCAAAACCUAUAGUUAAGAUCAAGGUUGUGGCUGUUCAUGGUGGCUUAUACUUAUAAACCUAGCACUUUAGGAGGCCGAGGUAGGUGGGUUGCUUGAGCUUAGGAGUUUGAGACCAGCCUGGGCAAUAUGGCAAAACUCCAUCUCUACAAAAAAAUACAAAAAUUAGCCAGAUGUGGUAGCCCACACCUGUAGUUCGAGCUACUCAGGAGGCUGAGGUGAGAGGAUUGCUUGAGCUUGGAAGGCCGAGCCACUGCACCCCAGCCUGGGCAACAGAGCGAGACACUGUCUCAAAAAAUCAAAAAAAGAUCAAGGUUGUAGUCUAUAUACCUGUUUCUAGCAAGGGAACAAUUAGUAAAUUUCUUCAACAUUAAUUAUCCCUUUUCUCUUGAAAUUCUUUAGAAAAACUGUAUGACAGUGAAUUUUUCAUGUGGGUAUUUCUUCUACUUUUUUUUUUUUUUUUUGAGACAGUCUCGCUCUGUCACCCAGGCUGGAGUGCAGUGGCGCGAUCUCAGCUCACUGCAAGCUCCGCCUCCUGGGUUCACGCCAUUCUCCUGCCUCAGCCUCCCGAGUAGCUGGGACUGCAGGUGCCCACCACCACACUCGGCUAAUUUUUUGUAUUUUUUUUAGUAGAGACAGGGUUUCACCAUGUUAGCCAGGAUGGUCUCGAUCUCCCGACCUCGUGAUCCACCUGCCUCAGCCUCCCAAAGUGCUGGGAUUACAGGCGUGAGCCACUGCGCCCAGCCAUUUCUUCUACAUUUUUAUUUUUUGGUAUCUUUCAAUGGUCUUGUACAAUUCUAGGCAUAUGGUUAUUAUUAUGAUCAUCAUUAUUAUUAAUAUACUACCAUCUGUUAAGCUCCUGCCUAAACUUUAUAAUUUUCAUACUUCAGUAAAAAUAUCUGCAGAGUAGGAUGCUGAGACUUGGAUAGGCUGGGUUUCUUGCCCAAGAUCAGGUAAGGAUUAAUUCAAAUCCAGGUCUUUCUCUCUUCUACCCCACACUGCUUCUUUAGCAAUAGGAGCUGAAUUGGUGAAUUGUUGGAUUUGUGAAUAGGAGCUGAAUUGGUGAAUUGGUGGAUUUGUGAAUAGGAGGUGAAUUGGUGAAUUAGCGGAGUGGUGAACAGGAGGUGAACUGGUGAAUUAGCGGAGUGGUGAACAGGAGGUGAACUGGUGAAUUAGCGGAGUGGUGAAUAGGAGGUGAACUGGUGCAUUAGCGGAGUGGUGAAUAGGAGGUGAACUGGUGAAGUAGCGGAGUGGUGAAUAGGAGGUGAACUGGUGCAUUAGCGGAGUGGUGAAUAGGAGGUGAACUGGUGCAUUAGCGGAGUGGUGAAUAGGAGGUGAACUGGUGCAUUAGCGGAGUGGUGAAUAGGAGGUGAACUGGUGCAUUAGCGGAGUGGUGAAUAGGAGGUGAACUGGUGAAUUAGCGGAGUGGUGAAUAGGAGGUGAACUGGUGAAUUAGCGGAGUGGUGAAUAGGAGGUGAACUGGUGAAUUAGCGGAGUGGUGAAUAGGAGGUGAACUGGUGAAUUAGUGGAGUGGUGAAUAGGAGGUGAACUGGUGCAUUAGUGGAGUGGUGAAUAGGAGGUGAACUGGUGCAUUAGUGGAGUGGUGAAUAGGAGGUGAACUGGUGCAUUAGUGGAGUGGUGAAUAGGAGGUGAACUGGUGAAUUAGUGGAGUGGUGAAUAGGAGGUGAACUGGUGCAUUAGUGGAGUGGUGAAUAGGAGGUGAACUGGUGAAUUAGUGGAGUGGUGAAUAGGAGGUGAACUGGUGAAUUAGUGGAGUGGUGAAUAGGAGGUGAACUGGUGAAUUAGUGGAGUGGUGAAUAGGAGGUGAACUGGUGCAUUAGUGGAGUGGUGAAUAGGAGGUGAACUGGUGCAUUAGUGGAGUGGUGAAUAGGAGGUGAACUGGUGCAUUAGUGGAGUGGUGAAUAGGAGGUGAACUGGUGCAUUGAACAGACCCUGCCAUCCCCUGCUUGGUCUCUCAGGCAGCCAGGGCCUCCCCAUAAAGAAUACAGAGUACCAAAUACUAACAUGUAUACCUUUUAUUUAAUGGUUGUCUUAUUUUUUAAAUUAUUAUUAUGAUUGAGAUGGAGCUUUGCUCUUGUCGCCCAGGCUGAGUGCAGUGGUGCGAUCUUGGCUCACUGCAACCUCUGCCUCCCGGGUUCAAGUGAUCCUCCUGUCUCAGCCUCCCAAGUAGCUGGGAUUACAGGUGGCCGCCACCAUGCCCAGCUAAUUUUUGUAUUUUUAGUAGAGACAGGGUUUCACCAUGUUGGCCAGGCUGGUCUCAAACUCCUGAUCUCAGGUGAUCCACCUGCCUUUGCCUCUCAAAGUGCUAGAAUUACAGGCGUGAGCCACUGCACCCAGCCUGGUUGUCUUCUUAAAAGUGAACAAAAAGCAAGAUAUUUAUAUUUAGAUUUAUACUUGUAUUUAUAUUCAGUAGAUGUUUACUAAAUACCUAGUUGGAAUUAAGCCUCUCUUCAACUCAUCAAAUAUAUGGCAACAGAAAUAAGACCUCCAGAGGACUAUAACACAUGACAAGUGUGUGCAUUUAGUGCCACUAGUGACAGCUGCAAGGAGCUCUGGGAGUUCUGUCUAUGGGCAGAGAUCCCUCUGAUGAGGACAGAAAAGUCUUUUUAGAGUGAGUAGUUUUGGGAAUGGGUAGAAUUUCAGUUAGUGAUAUAACAGCAGUGGGCUCAGGGGAAGGGAAAGUUGCCAGAAAUGGCGGGACUGUUCCCAUUGAAGCAGACGCACCUGUGCCUAGAACUGCCCCCAAGCAGGUGGCCAGCAGUUCAAAGGGCCACCCAAGUGAGUAUCCAUUUCCAAGGGAGCCAACUUGGUGAGUAGGGUUUGGUAGCAUGAAUUUCUAGGUGGAAACCAUGGAUGCUUGGAGUUAACAAGUGAUGGAAAUUGGGCAGUAUAUUCAGGCCCCAGCAAAGAAGGAGCCCAGUCGGAGGGUGGUGGGGAGAAGGUUGGUCGUGGAGGGCUCAUUACAGCACACAGAGGGAUGGGCAGCAACACAAAGCAAUGGCCGCCUCACGCACUGCUGCCUGGUCAAACAGGCCUCAGGGACAGGCCUCGGGAAUGAGACAGAACUAAGCCUCGAAGCAGAAAGUCCUCAGUCCGUACACAGAAACAGGACUGUGGGAGUUAGGGACCAACAGGCAGAGAGUCAGUCUUAAUACUAACAAACACCACUAAACAGCUAGCGAGGUGCUUAGCCACUGCACAAGUCUGUUCUGGCUGAGACACAGGCAUGUCUCCACAAAUACCUAUUUUCUGUGCCUGACACUAGGGUGACGGGAAAUUGUAUACGGGAGCUUUUCUAGCACUUCUUUCCCCAUUUCAGUUUUUUAGGCCAUCCAAACCAUGCCCCAAACAACCUCAUUGAUUGUAAAUUAUUUUAGUCAACAGGUGAAGAUGGCUGUUAUUUCCCUCUCAGCACACCAGUUUCCCACGUUAUGAAUCCAACUGCAGCCGUUGCAGGACAGAUAGAAACAUGUUACACACAAGUAAAUUGCUGCUCAGUUAUAAAGGUUCCUGUCACAUACUGGUAUCAGAAAUGAGUCUGUGCACGACCCAAUAUCUACGCGGGUGGAGGGGAAGUUGUCACUUAGCCAAAAGACUGAUGGAAACCAUUUAAGUGAGGCUUCCAGAGCCAGUACCCUCAGGCUCCAACCACUCGACAGGGGAAAACAAGAGCUUACCUGCUGUUACUUCCCUAAAAUCUGAUUCCGAAU